rnacentral:rRNA from 1 species
CGUAUGCAACCUACCUAUCAGAAGGGGAAUAACCCGGCGAAAGUCGGACUAAUACCGCAUAAAACAGGGGCACCGCAUGGUGAUAUUUGUUAAAGAAAUUCGCUGAUAGAUGGGCAUGCGUUCCAUUAGGUAGUUGGUGAGGUGACGGCUCACCAAGCCGACGAUGGAUAGGGGAACUGAGAGGUUGGUCCCCCACACUGGUACUGAGACACGGACCAGACUCCUACGGGAGGCAGCAGUGAGGAAUAUUGGUCAAUGGGCGGGAGCCUGAACCAGCCAAGUCGCGUGAAGGAAAAGAAGGAUCUAUGGUUCGUAAACUUCUUUUGCAGGGGAAUAAAGUGCAGGACGUGUCCUGUUUUGUAUGUACCCUGAGAAUAAGGAUCGGCUAACUCCGUGCCAGCAGCAGC